rnacentral:lncRNA from 1 species
GUCGAACUAACCGAAAAAAGACAGUGUUAAAAUAAAGCAAUAGCAACAGCAAAUUAUUUUCAAACAUACGAUAGUGAGACAUUACUGUCUUAAUUUACACAGAAAAUCAAAGUCCAUUAUCAAAUGUACACAAAGACCUUAUAAAACACUGUUUGUUAACCGCAUGAGCUCGCAUUAAUUGGAACCUGGUUCCUCAUGCCUGUAGAAAGCUGUUGGAUGGGUGGAUUUUCUUAUUUGUACCAGGUUUAGGUUUACUGUCGUCACUUAUUUUUUGCACUAUGAUGCCUGCAGCCUUGUUUUUUUUGUAUAAUUUCCAGCUCCUCCUUUCUCUUCAGUUUCUCCUUCUGGUUUUUCUGCUGCACGUAAACAUGAGCAUAACUUGCUCCUGUAGAAAACAUUGUUGUAGGAAUUAAUAUUUAUUCUCUGAAAUUGUUAAGUGAUUAUGAAGGUGUUUUUAUGGGAUUGAUUCUUGAGGAAUUUAUAG